GACGAACGCUGGCGGCGUGCUUAACACAUGCAAGUCGAACGGAAAGGCCCUGCUUUUGUGGGGUGCUCGAGUGGCGAACGGGUGAGUAACACGUGAGUAACCUGCCCUUGACUUUGGGAUAACUUCAGGAAACUGGGGCUAAUACCGGAUAGGAGCUCCUGCUGCAUGGUGGGGGUUGGAAAGUUUCGGCGGUUGGGGAUGGACUCGCGGCUUAUCAGCUUGUUGGUGGGGUAGUGGCUUACCAAGGCUUUGACGGGUAGCCGGCCUGAGAGGGUGACCGGCCACAUUGGGACUGAGAUACGGCCCAGACUCCUACGGGAGGCAGCAGUGGGGAAUAUUGCACAAUGGGCGGAAGCCUGAUGCAGCAACGCCGCGUGCGGGAUGACGGCCUUCGGGUUGUAAACCGCUUUCGCCUGUGACGAAGCGUGAGUGACGGUAAUGGGUAAAGAAGCACCGGCUAACUACGUGCCAGCAGCCGCGGUGAUACGUAGGGUGCGAGCGUUGUCCGGAUUUAUUGGGCGUAAAGGGCUCGUAGGUGGUUGAUCGCGUCGGAAGUGUAAUCUUGGGGCUUAACCCUGAGCGUGCUUUCGAUACGGGUUGACUUGAGGAAGGUAGGGGAGAAUGGAAUUCCUGGUGGAGCGGUGGAAUGCGCAGAUAUCAGGAGGAACACCAGUGGCGAAGGCGGUUCUCUGGGCCUUUCCUGACGCUGAGGAGCGAAAGCGUGGGGAGCGAACAGGCUUAGAUACCCUGGUAGUCCACGCUGUAAACGGUGGGUACUAGGUGUGGGGUCCAUUCCACGGGUUCCGUGCCGUAGCUAACGCUUUAAGUACCCCGCCUGGGGAGUACGGCCGCAAGGCUAAAACUCAAAGGAAUUGACGGGGCCCCGCACAAGCGGCGGAGCAUGCGGAUUAAUUCGAUGCAACGCGUAGAACCUUACCUGGGUUUGACAUGGAUCGGGAGUGCUCAGAGAUGGGUGUGCCUCUUUUGGGGUCGGUUCACAGGUGGUGCAUGGCUGUCGUCAGCUCGUGUCGUGAGAUGUUGGGUUAAGUCCCGCAACGAGCGCAACCCUUGUUCACUGUUGCCAGCACGUUAUGGUGGGGACUCAGUGGAGACCGCCGGGGUCAACUCGGAGGAAGGUGGGGAUGACGUCAAGUCAUCAUGCCCCUUAUGUCCAGGGCUUCACGCAUGCUACAAUGGCUGGUACAGAGAGUGGCGAGCCUGUGAGGGUGAGCGAAUCUCGGAAAGCCGGUCUCAGUUCGGAUUGGGGUCUGCAACUCGACCUCAUGAAGUCGGAGUCGCUAGUAAUCGCAGAUCAGCAACGCUGCGGUGAAUACGUUCCCGGGGCUUGUACACACCGCCCGUCAAGUCAUGAAAGUAGGUAACACCCGAAGCCGGUGGCCUAACCGUUGUGGGGGAGCCGUCGAAGGUGGGACUGGUGAUUAGGACU
rnacentral:rRNA from 1 species